UACGUAGGUGGCAAGCGUUGUCCGGAAUUAUUGGGCGUAAAGCGCGCGCAGGUGGUUUCUUAAGUCUGAUGUGAAAGCCCACGGCUCAACCGUGGAGGGUCAUUGGAAACUGGGGAACUUGAGUGCAGAAGAGGAAAGUGGAAUUCCAAGUGUAGCGGUGAAAUGCGUAGAUAUUUGGAGGAACACCAGUGGCGAAGGCGACUUUCUGGUCUGUAACUGACACUGAGGCGCGAAAGCGUGGGGAGCAAACAGG
rnacentral:rRNA from 1 species